rnacentral:lncRNA from 1 species
UUCAUUUUCGUUUUCCCUCCUAACCUAAUUCAUUUUCAUUUUCAUCAUUCCCUCCUUCCCUUCCUAAACUUCCCUUUUUUUCUAACCCUAAGUUGUCUCGCACUUUACCACCACCAGCAAAAUUAUGACGACGAAUCCCCUCGCAUAUGAGCUAGUGGCUGACGAAUAACCACCGCUUCAAUCUAACCCUUAAAAUCGGGUGACCGAAUCUUAAAUCAACAGGGUCUUUUCAUGUUUGUUCAAGAGUUGACUUAUAAGAACUUGCAUCAAGGAUAUCCAACUGAGACUAAGUGCGAGACUGGUUACAAACCUUUGGUUUUUUAACCACUAACGGGUUAUUGAUGUACCAGUUACCAACCGGUUAUGGUUCCAGUUAAUAACUGGGUUCGGUUAAACAAUCGGUUAUUUUGCCCACAUGUACUUCAACUUUGAAAGACUUCUUUCUUUUUUUCUUUUGGGUCUUCCCAAGAUCCGACCCCAUUGCAAAAUUUG